CCAUCGCUUCCCUCCUCUCUUACCUUCACCUUUCUAACCCGAGCCAUCGCGCCGCCAUGCCUCUGACGGCAGUCGCGGCAGCUCUAAACACAAAAACUAACGCAGAGAGGAUGAAUCUCCACAGCGGCGAUGAAGAAGACGUUGGCGGCGGCACCGCACCUAGGAAAUGGGUGGAAGAAGCCGGAUCUGAAAGGGGUCGAGUGGAAAUCCUAACGGAGAAUCUCCAAAAAAUCAAGGAUUCUGCGAUGUGAAGAGCGAAUCGAGCAACAAAAACCUUCAAUCGGCGGAAGUGACGGUGGUGAGCGGCGGUGGAAAGCUUUUCAGGUGAAAGAACUCAUAAAGGCUGUGAAUCACGGUUUAGAAUAUGAAGAUUUGGAUAGUGACGGUGGCAUUCGUAGAACAAUGGUGUUUGCUAACACUGUUGAAGCUGCUGAAGUUGUGGCAAAGAUAUUGAACUUUACUAGGCUUGAGUGUUUAUGUUAUCAUAAGAAUUGCACAUUGGAAGAGCGAGCACAGACAUUAGUUGAUUUCCAUGAGAAAGGUGGUGUUCUUGUAUGUACUGAUGCAGCUACUCGUGGUGUGGAUAUUCCAAACGUCUUGCAUGUUAUUUAGGUAUACUUCUCCUUUUUACAUGUUAUACUUUUUUAUGGAGCAGCAAAAAAUUUA